UUACCGUGAAAAAAUUAGAGUGUUCAAAGCAGGCAGAUCCAAUUUUCUGCCACCGAAUACAUUAGCAUGGGAUAAUGGAAUAGGACCCUGUCCUCCUAUUUUCAGUUGGUUUUGGCAGCGCGAGGACUAGGGUAAUGAUUAAUAGGGAUAGUUGGGGGCAUUAAUAUUUAAUUGUCAGAGGUGAAAUUCUUGGAUUUAUGAAAGAUUAACUUCUGCGAAAGCAUCUGCCAAGGAUGUUUUCAUUAAUCAAGAACGAAAGUUAGGGGAUCGAAGACGAUCAGAUACCGUCGUAGUCUUAACCAUAAACGAUGCCGACCAGCGAUUAGGAGACGUUGAAUACAAAACACCACCAUCGGCGCGGUCGUCCCUGGCUCGUCGUCUCUCGACGAGGCGGGGCGGUAGCCCGAUGGCACCGGUGAAUGACUCCCCUAGCAGCUUGUGAGAA
rnacentral:rRNA from 1 species